UACUGGGCGUAAGGAUGCGUAGGCGGAUAUUUAAGUCAGAUGUGAAACCCCCAGGCUUAACUUGGGGACUGCAUUUGAAACUGGGUAUCUAGAGUGCAGGAGAGGUAAGUGGAAUUCCUAGUGUAGCGGUGAAAUGCGUAGAGAUUAGGAAGAACAUCAGUGGCGAAGGCGGCUUACUGGACUGUAACUGACGCUGAGGCAUGAAAGCGUGGGUAGCAAACAGGAUUAGAUACCCUGGUAGUCCACGCUGUAAACGAUGAAUACUAGGUGUGGGAGGUAUCGACUCCUUCCGUGCCGCCGCUAACGCAAUAAGUAUUCCGCCUGGGGAGUACGAUCGCAAGAUUAAAACUCAAAGGAAUUGACGGGGGCCCGCACAAGCAGCGGAGCAUGUGGUUUAAUUCGAAGCAACGCGAAGAACCUUACCUGGACUUGACAUCCCCUGAAUAACCUAGAGAUAGGCGAAGCCCUUCGGGGCAGGGAGACAGGUGGUGAAUGGUUGUCGUCAGCUCGUGUCGUGAGAUGUUAGGUUAAGUCCUGCAACGAGCGCAACCCUUAUCCUUAGUUGCUACCAUCAAGUUGAGCACUCUAAGGAGACUGCCCGGGUUAACCGGGAGGAAGGUGGGGAUGACGUCAAAUCAUCAUGCCCCUUAUGUCCAGGGCCACACACGUGCUACAAUGGUGAGUACAGAAAGAUGCAAUACCGUAAGGUGGAGCAAAACUCUAAAACUCAUCCCAGUUCGGAUUGCAGGCUGCAACUCGCCUGCAUGAAGCCGGAGUUGCUAGUAAUCGCGAAUCAGCAUGUCGCGGUGAAUACGUUCCCGGGCCUUGUACACACCGCCCGUCACACCAUGAGAGCUGGCAACACCCGAAGUCCGUGAGGUAACUCGUAAGAGAGCCAGCGGC
rnacentral:rRNA from 1 species